GGUUGUGGCUCAGCGGUAGAGCACUCGCCUAGCAUGUGCAAGGCCCUGGGUUGGAUCCUCAGCACCA
rnacentral:tRNA from 1 species